rnacentral:misc_RNA from 1 species
CCCCAGUUCUGCAACCCUCCCACCCGAGCAAAGUGCGAUCUGAUGGGCAUUCUGAACUGUGCUUAAUCGAUGAGCAAUCACCAAUGUAGUUCUGCCCUUCAUCAAAUGAUUAAGAGCAUCCUGGACCAGGCGUUCACUGACUGCAUCCAAAGCACUGGUGGCCUCAUCAAGAAUAAGGAUUGGAGCAUUUUUGAGCAAGGCUCUCGCAAUAGCAACUCUCUGGAGAAUGAAGGUCAGAAAAUAAAAUUCAAUCCUUUAUCUUUCAAAUAC